AAAGUUAGUAUAAAAUUAUAUGGAACUAGACAAAUAUACUAUUAAUAGCACAAAGUCAUUGGUGCUACCAAGUUUUUGGCCAUUGGAUUAAGAGAUGUACGGUUAGAAUGAUAUAGACCUCCUAGGGUUAAGUGGGUGGUUGGUUGAAUAGUAUGAUCUAACGGAUGAAAGUGAUCAAAAGGAUAGAUCUAAUGGUGGAAAAUUUGGUAGCACCAAAUGUUUCGUACUAUUAAUAGCAUAGUAGCCGAACUCAAAUUACAUGUUCAUUAACUCAUUGCAUGAUAUAAUAAUUCUUGUUUGGAACUAGGAGAGAGAGAGAGAGAGAGAGAGUAGGAAGCAGCUUAAGUUUGUCAUAAAAGUCAGGAAAAAGUUACUAAAAUUUUUGGAACAGAGGAAACUUAAUUGUUUAAAAUAUUAAACACAUUAAAGAGUUCAAAAAUUGUUAUAACUAUGUGAACCUUAAAUAAACAGUACGUUCGUAAAUUGAAUUUACUGAGCACCACAUAAAUCUAGUCACGGCACUGCGGUCCCCUCUCAUCACAAUCAAUAAAAAGGACGCAGAGAGGAAUAUUUUUGCAGUCCCAAUUAGGACAUCUGAGCAGGAACUGUGCAAUUUUUUCCUUAGAUGCUAGGGAUAUGUAGAUGUUUUUUUAACACUUUUGGAACAAAAAGUGAGCAUGUUGGGAACUUUAAACACAUGAAAAGCAGGGAGAGAGAGAGAGAGAGAGAGAAAGAGAAAGAGAAAGAGGGGGAGAAAAUGUAAUGGUGUAUUUUCUUGGGAAUAUAUAUAUAUAUAUAUAUUAAAUUUCUUANCCCUUUAAUUUUAGCUUUAUCAUUAAUUUAACGAAAAAAAAUUAGUGGAAUCAAUAAUAAAAACAUAAAAAUGAAACCAAAGAGUACUAAAUUGAUACACUUUAAACCAUAAAAUACUAAAGUAAGAAAGUAUGAAACCACAGGAAUAAUAUUUAAAGUUUUUUCUUUAAUUUUUGAGUGAUUGAAGUGUUUUUAUUUUAUGAUGGUCAGAACUAAACGGGCCCUCAGAGUAAUGCUAAAUGUACACCCCUAUUAUAGGUAUAAAUCUUUGCACUCCUCUUAUCCAGGACUUUAAUUUUCUACUCGUCAUAUAAAAAAAAACUAAAAAAUUUAAAAAAUUUGUGAAUCUUUGGAUACUUGAGGUGUAAUAUUUUCAUCUAGCUAUAGAUGUACAUAUAGCAUUUUUUUAUCUCUUAUUUAACACAUUCCUUGUACGUAUUUAUAUCUUUUAUCACCCAUACAUAUAAUGAAUUGUGAAAUAAACGGGCUCACAGUAGAGACUUUUCUGGCCAAUUUUUUUUCUCAUGUCCCAUUCUCUGUAGCUGCGGAGUUAAAGGGGUCAUUUAAGUUAACUUACAAAAGUUAGUAUAAAAUUACAUGGAACUAGACUAAUAUACUAUUAAUAGCACAAAGUCAUUGGUGCUAUCAAAUUUUUAACUAUUAGAUUAAAAGAUGUGCGGUUAGGAUGAUAUAGACUCUCUAGGAUUAAGUGGGUGGUUGGUUGAAUAGUAUGAUCUAACGGGUGAAAGUGAUCAAAAGAAUAAAUCUAACAGUAAAAAACUUAAUAACAUAAAGUAUUUCGUACUAUUAAUAGCAUAGUAGCCGAACUCAAAUUACAUAUUCAUUAACUCAUUGCAUGAUAUAAU
rnacentral:lncRNA from 1 species